UUGAUAGAUGAUGAGGGCAAUGAGUCUUAGAGAGGUUAAAUAAUUUGCUAAAGGCCACACAGCCUGUAAAGUGGCAGAAGCUGGGACCAUCCAACUCUAAAGCCCACAUUCUUAGACAUUAGGGGAUAUUGAAUGAAGUGUGUGUAUGUAUGGGGGAAUUUAAGAGAAUAUCAAACCAUUUGUAGAGUUCUACCCAAUAUAGAGACCUUAUCUAAUGUAAGAGAACUCUGAAGACAUCUCAUUGAUUGAAUGCUCUCCCCUUCAUAGCAACUUCUUCUGCGGCUUCCUUGCCUGGUGCUCCAGUCUUUGAGGGAAGCACGGCUGGCACGUUCUUCCGUUUGGAGACAUGGUUGACAAUUUCUCCAUAAUGGGGACACAACUGGCAAUUUUCCUACAGAGUGAGGCAGAUGGCAAUUUUCCUUCAGAGACAUGCAGGCAACAGUUUUGCCCCUGGAGAGAAAAGCCUCGCCGAUUGAGAUGCAGCCAGUAAUUUUUACUAUACAGAAGACACAUCCAAUAAUUUUGCCCAGUGAGAGAAACGGCCAACAAUUUUCCCACAGAGGACAGGAAAAACAGACCAAAAAUUCAUAGUGGGGAGAAGUGAGGAGCAAAUGGGCUGGUAUGACCAAGAAAGACUUAAUAAGAAGCUGAGCCUUAAAUGAUCAAGAAGCACUGGAUAGAUAAGAGGAAUAAUCAUUUAUUAGCCAAGCGGGACUGGUGCCUUUUUGAGAACUGUCAUUCUGGAAAGAUAUUGAUUGAAGGAGGCCUCUGAGCACAUUCUCUCCAGCAGGCAGCCGUAAGGGAGGCGGCUGCAGUCCAGACAAGAUGAUGAGUUGGCAGUGAGCAUCUCGACAGGAGCCUAAUGAAGAAAUCUGGUAACAGCGAGGGCUGGCUUUAUGAGCGCUCAUAUUUGGUCUUUCACUCUCUGCAAGGUUGGUGAGUGGCAAAAGUGUCCAUGGGCCUCUACCUCCCACUGUGGAAUUACACAUUCCUACAGCCAGUGGGCUCCGGGAACCCAAUGGCAGCAUCCCCAGGCCCCUGGGCCCACUCCACACAUCACAGGCUAGAGACUUCUUGUCUGCCUCCUUUCUCACGUCUCUCCCCCUGAGAUAGCAUGCUCUCCCCUCCCUCCUUCCCUCUCAUAAUUUGUUCCCAACAGGUAGCUUUGUGCAGUUACUCCAAGAGAAGCCCGAACUCCCUGGGGAGCCUCUGCCCAGGUGGAAGAGCUCUCGAGUGGCUAUUAUUAGGGGUGAUUGCUGGGAAGCUGGUUGCCAUGGCACCGCAGAGGCCAGUGCUGAACUCCCAAGCUGCCCCGUUUCCAAGGCUGUCUACAUAAUCACUGCAAUGAGAGGCACAGGCACAGAAAGGGAGAGAGGAGCAGCUCCCCACUGACAGUGAUCUCCCUGCAGAGCAAGGUUCCUGGAGUUUGCAAACAUCGAGUAGUGAUAGUCUUCCAUCUGCCAGGCACUGCGCUAAACUCUUUAUGGAGACAAAGAAAUGAUGCUCAGAGAGUCAUUUGCCCUUGGUCACAGGCUAAGAAGAGGCAGAGCUAGGACGUAAACCCAACUCUGGCUCUAUGGCAUCUCAUAUAGCAUCAUUUUUCCUCCAGUCCUCUGACUAGAAAGGGUGGCCCCUUCAACCUGGUGCUGAGAACAGACACUGGCGGCCCCACACCUCUGAAGGCAUGGUUCCAGCAAAUAGAAAUUGGACUGGCAAGGAUUAAACCGCUGGUUUGGGCUUCAUUAGCUAUGUGAUCUCACCAACCACAGAGAAUUAACCAGAGUGGAGCCAUCUCUUUACAGACUUAACACAAUGUACCGAGGCAAUGUGGAGAACAGUCACUGAAUUUAUUGAGCACCUACUACCUGCUCCAGACAUGCCAUUAACACGUGGGCUAUCCUUCCCUUCCACAGUCACUCUAGAACUUGAGGCCACUGUCCUCUGAUGCAGAGAGAAGAAACAUUUUAUAAUCACUGUAGACAAUAAAGGCUUUAUCUGUUAGCAA
rnacentral:lncRNA from 1 species